UGUUGUUUUAGUGGUGUUGGUGAUGCUGUUUUUUCUAUUGUUUUGAUAUUAUAAAACUUUUAUUUUAUUAUUAAUUUGGUUAUUAUUUUAGUUCUAACUUCUUUAAAUUUUAAUAUAAGUACUUUUUAUUAUAUUUUUAAUUUGUGUAGUAUUUUAAGAAUUAUUUUAGUAUUAUUUUUUAUUUUUUUUUUGUUUUAAUAUUUAUUUUUAUGUUUUUAAAUGAUUUGAUUUAUUAUUUUUUAAUUUUUUUAUUUAAUAAAAAAGCUAAAAAAAAUUAAUAUAGGUCGGGCCGGGCCUGGCUCGGGCUUACCAAUUUUAUUUUAGGCCAGGCUUGGACAAUUUUUUAAGCCCAUAUUUCGGGUCGGGCCGGGCACGGGCAUUAAAAACGGGCCUAAAAUUUUGUCUUGGCCCGGCUCAAACCCAGCCCAUCCCGGCCCAUGCUCAGCUCUACAUGGAUCCUAGUAAUCUUAGUUUACAGACCGAGAUUAAUAACUUCUAUAGGAAAUUGUGGAAAUUAUACAUCCCUUCAAAAGUUACAUUAACAUUAUGGAGAAUAUCUUGGAAUUUCAUCCCUUCAUUGGUUAAUCUCAAGCAGAAGAAAGUAGUAGAAAAUGCUCUUUGCCAUCGCUGCCGACAAAAUGAGGAAGACAAUUAUCAUAUUUUUCAGCAAUGUCCUACGUCAAGAGAGGUCUGGAAUCAUUUACAACUCUCAUGGGUACUUAACUGUAAUUAUCAAACUAUAUGGGAAUGGCUUACCUGGGUUUUUAGUUAGAGAAUGACUGAACAGAUUCGUUGUUUUUGCUGCGGCCUUUGGCUAGUCUGGUUCAACAGAAAUCGGGUAAUAUAUGAUAAAAUAAAUGUGUCACGGAGGGACAUUGCGAAGCAAACUCACAGUUAUAUUUCUGAGUUGAACGGGAUCAAAGGGAUGAGACUUACUGCUCAGUCUACUGAAGGAGCGAUACAGGAAAGAAGAAGAUCAGAAGUCACAAUCUCUUUCGACGCGGCCUUUGACCAACAAGUCUUCAGACAUUGUUAGUACACGACGCAGAAGGAAAAAUUUUAGCAUCCAAAACGACCAUCCACUCCGAAAUCGCAAAUCCAUUUGUGGCAGAGGCUCAUGUAGGGUUACAAGCAGUCAAGUUAGGGAUAUUCUUGGGGCUUAAUAAACUAGAAAUUUUGGGAGAUUCAAAGACCGUAAUUAAAAAAUGCCAGAGCAUAAAUACAGACAAAUCGAACAUCGGUGCGAUUAUCAGAGAUAUUCAACAUAAGAAAGACAGUUUUCAAGAGAUAAAGUUUCACUUCAUACCCAGAACAGAAAAUUUUCAUGCUCAUACUCUAGCGAAAAAGGCGUUAAAGAGAGGAGAUGACCAUUACCUGGUAGGAGAACUUCCAGAAUUUGCUCGCCAAACUUUGGAGGAAUGGAGGCCUAGAGAACCGAAUUGAGAGAAAAUGAAGAUUAAUGAUUGUUUGAAAGAGGUAGUAGGAAAAAUUAAUUGAUUCCCUUGGAAACUGCUACCGUCAUAAUGUUGGAGAGGACGUGAAAUGACAUUACACUGAAGGGCCAGCUGUCAAUUUGACUGGGCAAGUUUAUUAGGUUUCCUUUUUGUUUUCUUUUCGAAUUCACGAACCAUUUUACUUUCAUUAGGCCGGCUUUGCUAUAUGUGCAGGCUUUGAAUUUUACUUGGGUUAUUUUCUUGGACCUAACCCACUGACGAUAGCAGUUUCCAAGGGAAUCAAUUAAUUUUUCCUACUACCUCUUUCAAACGAUCAUUAAUCUUCAUUUUCUCUCAAUCCGGUUCUCUAGGCCUCCAUUCCUCCAAAGUUUGGCGAGCAAAUUCUGAAAGUUCUCCUACCAGGUAAUGGCCAUCUCCUCUCUUUAACGCCUUUUUCGCCAGAGUAUGAGCAUGGAAAU
rnacentral:lncRNA from 1 species